rnacentral:lncRNA from 1 species
GGAAAGGGAAGGAACCGAUAGAGAGGGGGCAGAUGCCCUAUUUUGAUGAUUAUGACGAUGAAUGAUUUUUUAUCUUUUGAUUGUAAACAAUUAAUUUUGGAUAAUUUUUAGUUUAUUGAUUUAGAAGUAAGAUUGACAGUAGACUUUUAUAUUUGUUUUUUUUUCUUUUUGAAGUUUUCUAUAUAGGAACCCCACAUGGAAUAAGCAAAACAA